ACGAACGCUGGCGGCGUGCUUAACACAUGCCAGUCGAACGGAAAGGCCCUGCUUUUGUGGGGUGCUCGAGUGGCGAACGGGUGAGUAACACGUGAGUAACCUGCCCUUGACUUUGAGAUAACUUCAGGAAACUGGGGCUAAUACCGGAUAGGAGCUCCUGCUGCAUGGUGGGGGUUGGAAAGUUUCGGCGGUUGGGGAUGGACUCGCGGCUUAUCAGCUUGUUGGUGGGGUAGUGGCUUACCAAGGCUUUGACGGGUAGCCGGCCUGAGAGGGUGACCGGCCACAUUGGGACUGAGAUACGGCCCAGACUCCUACGGGAGGCAGCAGUGGGGAAUAUUGCACAAUGGGCGGAAGCCUGAUGCAGCAACGCCGCGUGCGGGAUGACGGCCUUCGGGUUGUAAACCGCUUUCGCCUGUGACGAAGCGUGAGUGACGGUAAUGGGUAAAGAAGCACCGGCUAACUACGUG
rnacentral:rRNA from 1 species